GAACCAGAAGCAUCUUCAUAGGAGCAGACUGGAAAUGAAAGCAGUUCACCUGCUACUUCUGCAUCACAAGCCAUUCUAUGUUACACUUUUUGCAUCAGUCCAUUUAGACAAUACUGUGGUGGUGUUUUACCACAUGUAUGGGGGCGGGGAAACAUUGUAGUCCUUCUCCUACCCACUCUGAAGUGGGCAGAAGAGAAUCUUGUGACAUUCACUGCAGUCCACAUAGCUGAGAAAGUCAGCAUAAUAGCAGUUUGGCUCGGAGUUUCAGCAUACAUCACAGGGAAUGGAGCUUCAAUCCACAAGUAUUUCACCAGAUGUGCAGGAUGUGGGAAAUUCUAAUAAUACACGUUUGCCACAACCCACAGCUGUAAAGUGCCUCUGUUCUGCCGCAGAUAUAGGGGCCUCUUGCACUAGGGAUAGACACAUUCUUUGUUCCCUGAAAUUGCAGCCUGCUGUGAACCUUCCCUCCUUUCCCCUUCAUUCCCCAGAUGCUGAGAAAAGUACAAAAGGACAAGAUGAAGUGGAUUCUCAUAAUUCCAGGUUAACCAUGGAACAGCCUGUGUGUGCAACUGUCCUUAGCCAAGCCCUGGACUCUUCGUUUCAUAAUCAAUAGGAACUGAUUCACGAUGAUAAGAACAUUAUUUUCUUAUGGAUAUAUCUUGUGAGACUGACCGUGAAGUGCCAAGUUCUCCCUGACUCAGACAUCAAUGUCCUUCUUAAGUCUCUAACACAAGCAACCAAUGGCAAGUACAACCUAGUCUGAAAAGUUUUCUCCUUAUGAGUUUCUAAUACAGUUAGUUCCUUCUCUGGGUGCUAAAUACCUGAUUUUAAAAUAUUUUUUCCAGUGCAGCCUAAAGAAAAGCCCUAGUACCUGAAAGGACCUGGCUGCUGUGUUUUGUUCUCUUGGAUCUAGUGCCACCUUCCCUGUGCAACAUCCUCUAGGAGUGUUCUAAAAGCAGCCAAGCAACUGAAGUCCAAAUUCCAUGUAAUCCACCUCCCUGGAGGAGCCCAAGGUGGUCCAGAAUACAGUGCCAUCCUCCUUUUAAAUCUGUGGACACAGGUGGCAUUUUCAAUUGCAAUUCCAUCAGCUAGAAGAUUAGGAGAAAUCACAACCAUUUGAUGCCAUUUUUAAUUUGCUGCCUUUCUUCCUGUGCUCAGCUGCAUUCCCAAGACAAAUCCCAGCUUUCAUGCUGAGCAAAAGGUGUCCCUUGUCUCCUUUCCUUCAGAGCAACUCAGGAUGUGACAAAGAAAGGAUCCUACAUUCAUGCAGCAUGAGCUGAAGCCUCUCACAUUUUACCUAGAAAAGACAAAAGUGUUUCAGAUUAGCUGAUUCCUUCUGUGGGUUCUGUAGCAGCACAGAAAUGCAAAGCAGCUUGUGAAGUAUUGACUUCUCCAUGGAUUUGUUCCCCUGUUCUUGAAGCAUCACUCUGAGAAGGGGUCCUUUGUAAAAGUUCAUUGGGCAAGGGCUCCCAGGUUGCUUCCAGGAGAGAAAGUGGAAUGGAUACUAUAGAAGAGAUUUGCAAAGCAGCCACCUGGAAGCCCAGCUGCUCCUUUACUAAGCAUCAUAGGGUGCAUGUUAGUGACUCAUUUUAUUCACCUUUUGGGUAACCCAUUCUAAGGGCUCCAAUUUCAAAUUCUAACAUGUUUUUUUGAGUCAAGGAGUAUGUUUUCCCCUCCCUAAUUUGUCGAAUUGGUGCUGCUAUGUAAAGAUUAUUAAUAUGGGUUCCUUGAGCUCUUGUCAGCUAGGUGCCUUCUCAGUUACUGUUGUUCUGCAUUGUGUGUGGACUGAGGAUGUCACCCUCAUGGGCUCCAUGUGCACUAGCAGCAGUGACCUCUUGAACUUUUCUGAGCCAUCCUUCUGCCUGACAUCACCUGUGGAGCGGUGAUGGAGAGAGGUGAGCCCCUUAAUACAGAUUCCAGGAGCUACAUGUUGCAGAUAUCCUUUUAAUAAGUGAGGAACCUUUUCUGUACAGUGAAACCGACCCCAGAAUUGUCUCCAGCUCUCCCAGUGCUAUGGAAUCUGUCCUGCAUUGAGAACCCAGCUCCACUAUCAAAAUCUGUCAUCACAAACCAUUGACAACAGUGAACUGCCCUGGGAGGCCAUGGCUGUUUUGGUCUGCAGUCCAAGUGAUGGCUGGAGGCCCCCUUUAUUCUCUGCCUCUGAUGGGAUGAGUACCUCAGGCAGACACAAGACAGUUUAGUGGCAGCCAGAAAGUACAGAAAGGGAUUUAUGAACUUGAAGACUGGAAGACGUCAAGUGCAACACAGAGAAAAGUGAGAGAGCUCUGAAACUUAGUGAGUUGGAGCAAAGCUGAUACUGUUUUCAGUUAAACAGACAAAGGUUUGUGUGAAUGGUGUAUGCCCCUUAUUCCUUUUUUCUUUUAGGUAAUCUCAUUUCCUUUGUGCACUGAAAUCUGUUGUCAGGAAACCAGAAUAGGGGAAGCAGCACACUCCAAUUCACACUGGGGGUGGGGAUGGUCCACUGGUUUCCCAUGUGCCUGUUGAAUAGCUAGGGCCAGUGGAGAGCACAGUCAGCACAGAGAGCAAGGGUCUGGGACAGCAUUUUAUUCUGUAAUGGUUCUUAUAUCAAACUCAUUGCCAUAGUAGCUGAGUGCCUUCUACUAGUGCAAUAAGUUAUGUAGUUCCUCUGUCUUAACAGUGGAGAACAUUGCAACCAGAGUUGCAUGGUACUGAGAUUCAGACCUAGGUCUCUUGCAUGCUACUGUAGAGCACUCCCAACCUGAGAAACAAGGAGCUGCCACAUAUAAUCAUACCAGUGGUCUCCCAUAUGGCAGUGCAGAAUACUCCUUUCUUCCUCUCUUGUAUGCUUCUGAGUGCAGAGUCUACUAUAUUGAGAUAAGUGAUUAUGUUGGUAUCAUUUGAGCCUACCUAGGUUUGCUCCUGGUAGGGGAGUUAUCAGGUGUGUAUUCAGUACAGAUAGUGAGGAGCCACUGCUUCCAUCUGCUUUCCUACAGUCCACACUUGCUUUCCCCAUUGUAGCAGACCACACGGGGAACAGCUUUCUGCCUUUGCCCUCCUUCCCCAGCCCCAAUGUUCUGAAACAACCUGCUCUUGGUACUGGGCUCAGGAAUCUAUUCAACCUGCCAUUAACCAAAGUGCUGCUGGGUUAUCUGACAGCUGAUCUGUAACCAAACAGUCCUGUAAGACAUCUCCUCAAUCCCCAUUUACAGACAGGGAAGCUGAGUCCCAGAGAGGGAAGAUGACUUGCCUUUGAUUGCACAGCAAAUCAGUGGCAGAAUACAAGCCAGUUUGUCACACUCCCAGGCCUGUGAUUUAACCACUAAGUCAUUCAUGCCACUCUUGACUCAGCCUGCCAGUCCAGGAAGCAGCUCCCCAGAUAGGAGGCGGAGAGGUGAGGGUCUAGUGGACUGUGGGCCAGACUGAGAGCCGGGAACUCCUAAAUUCUAAUUCUUUCUCUGCCACUAGCACCCUCUGUGGCGUUGGGCAAGUCAUUUCCCCUCUCUGAGCCUUACACUUCUCCAUUUGCCAGCAUUAAUUAGUGAAUGUUUGUGAAGUGCUGUAAGUGUCAAGUAUUAGAAGGCUUUGUGCUCUAGUUCCGCCCUUUGUAGCCUCCCUUUUUUUUUAAGAGAAAGGGAGCCCUUCAAUUGAAUGGGCAGCAGGGCCAAUCCCAAGGCCAAAGAGGAGUGAUAACCAGAGAGCAGGCUCCAACUUGUAAAUCAAAACCUCCCAGGGGGUUGCUGCUAAGAGAUUAGAAGGGAUUCCUUUGCCAGCUGGCAUCUGGAUUCCCCCAUCUAUCUAACCAGGUAUUUACAGCAUAUCCAUCAGCACAUUAUUGUAGUCACAGUGUACUCCCUCACUCGUCUUUCAGUGGGGAAAGCACCAGCACACUCAGUAAUAAGUGCGUGCUGCAAGGCUGGGCAGAGCUACUAGUUUCAUCACAAGUGACUACAGGUCAAGGAGACCUGAAGAAAAAUGAAAGGGAUAAAGUUAGGCAGUGAGUGGGAAGGGCCCUUUUAUCAGAGCCGGUGUUCCUUCACUGCAGGCCAAAAGGGCAUCCAACCACUAGUUGCCAGCUAACCAUCUAGAUUUUUUUCAUGUCUCAUUAAAAUGCUUGGAAUUGUGUGUUGGGGCAGUACCACAAUGAGGUGAGCAUCAGCUGCCUGCAUUUUGAAGGAGGAGGAUCAAACUGGGACCUGAUGGAAGAACUAAACCUAAAGGAGAAGAGGCUCAUGCAGAAGCCUGGUUGCAGGAGACUGAUGCUUGGUGCAUAAUGGGUGAUUAUCGCAGAUAUGGCUCAGAUCCUUACAGCAACAGCAGACAGGACUGCUCAUACCCGCAUCUCAGCGGCAGACAGAGGACAUGCUGAGCCAUGCUGUGGAAAUGGGCAGUUUUCCCUGCUCCUUGAGUCCUGGUGUCUCCUGAGAAGAUAGCUAAUCAUAUAACCAUAUGGCAUACAGUCUGCUAGAGAUUAAAUAAAAUUAGUUGCAUUACCCCAUUGUAUCCCUUAUUCCACUUCAUCAUGGUAAGAGUAACGUAAAUCUGGCAAUAUGGCUGCAAUCUGAAACUGCCACCACUGAGACGCAGCUCCUCCAGUACAACAGUGCCAGGAACCUCUGGCACAAAAACAGCAUCCCCAAUGUAAUACUACAGCAUCAGGGAACAGCCUGCAUUGUGACAUGACGGCAUGUCCUCCAUUGUCUUCCAGAACUGGGGAAUCGCCAGCACUGACUGAAUGGAUUGCUCAGUGCCUACAUCCGCUCAGCUUCCGAAUCUGCAAUCUGCUGAGGGUUGUGUCUGCUCAGUCUCUAGGUCUCUGUAUCUGCACCUGAAUCUGGUUACUGUCUGCAUCUGUGUCAGCUCAAUGUCUGCUCUGCACUUGCUCAACAUCUGUUUUUCAGUGUCUCCUUGGUGUCUGUGUCCCAUUGGGAUCUCCUCUGCAUCUGCAUCUCCUCAGCUUCUACUUUGGUAUCUGCCCUGCACCUACUCAGCAUCUAUGUGAUCCUCUGUUCAUUAUCUGUCUCCUCAGCAUCCCCUCAGUGUCUGCAUCUGCUCAGCAUUUCCUCAACAUCUGGGUCUCCUAUGCAUGCAUGCAGUGUCUUAUUAUAUGUGUGUCCGGAAUAUCUGAAUUUCCUCAGCAUCUCCUCUGUCUUCCCUCAGUGGCUGAAUCUCCUCAGCAGUUACAUCUCCUCAGUUUCGGUCUCUCCUCAGCACCUCCUUUCUGUCUCCUCAGCAUCUUCUCCAUGUCUGUCUGCCUUCCUCAGCACCCCUAUCUCUGUCUUCUCUGCAUCUGACCACACUGCACAGAGUGAAUGGGUCAAAUCCAUCACUGCUGUAACCACUGAAGUCAGCAGAGUUUUGCCACAGAUUAAUUUGGCCUGAUGCCUGGGACUCUGUUGUCCACAUGCAAGACACUCUUAGAUUUCUGCUACUAGUCCUUGGGGGUAAAUUCAGCCUACAAGCCUCAAACUUUUUCCUCCUCUCCCCCCCCCCUCAUCUUUUUCCUUUCCUUUCUUCUUUCUCCUCUACUCUCCUCUCUGUUCUCUCCUCGCUUCUCAGGGCUUCAGACAUUGGCUGGGCUUGCUAUUCCCUGGCUAGAGUCUGGGCUGAUGUUAUUCCAAGACACUGAAAAGCCCAUCCCUUGCCUGCCCUGUUGCCAAUGCUCGAACUCCUCCACCUGCUGCGGCGCUGCUCUCCAGCUAGCGCUUGGCCUUUUUAAAAAAAUAAUAAAUCAUGUUUUAAAAAUUAA